GACGAACGCUGGCGGCGUGCUUAACACAUGCAAGUCGAACGGAAAGGCCCUGCUUUUGUGGGGUGCUCGAGUGGCGAACGGGUGAGUAACACGUGAGUAACCUGCCCUUGACUUUGGGAUAACUUCAGGAAACUGGGGCUAAUACCGGCUAGGAGCUCCUGCUGCAUGGUGGGGGUUGGAAAGUUUCGGCGGUUGGGGAUGGACUCGCGGCUUAUCAGCUUGUUGGUGGGGUAGUGGCUUACCAAGGCUUUGACGGGUAGCCGGCCUGAGAGGGUGACCGGCCACAUUGGGACUGAGAUACGGCCCAGACUCCUACGGGAGGCAGCAGUGGGGAAUAUUGCACAAUGGGCGGAAGCGUGAUGCAGCAACGCCGCGUGCGGGAUGACGGCCUUCGGGUGGUAAACCGCUUUCGCCUGUGACGAAGCGUGAGUGACGGUAAUGGGUAAAGAAGCACCGGCUAACUACGUG
rnacentral:rRNA from 1 species